GCGGGAGGAGGGGCGGAUGGGUGAGUUAAACCACGUAGAAUUGAAGAUGCUUGUAUGCAGUUGGUAUGGGGAUCUGGGCCUAAGGAGGGGUAGAGAUAAACAGUUAUUUCAAGGGAUUUACAGCUAGGAGUGGCAGGCAUGGGGAGGACGGCAGAUAAGAACCAUUUGGCCCAUCUAGACUGCCCAAUUUUCUAAGUAUUUUCAUUAGUCCCUGGCCUUAUCUUAUAGUUAGGAUAGCCU